GCUGGGGUGGUCUAAUGGUUAUGACGCUGGAAGGGCGACUGACCCAAGUAUUCACUGGAUCGCUAAACCGCGGAUGCCAGGCACCAUAUAACGAGUGUGGAUGCCAAUCACAGCGAAGAGAUCUAGUGGAUACUACGGGCUCUUGCUCUACCGGAGAUGCCAGUUCGAAUCUGGCUCUCGGCA